UGACAGGUGUGCUGGUGUCAACAGGA
rnacentral:piRNA from 1 species